AUUGAACGCUGGCGGCGUGCCUAACACAUGCAAGUCGAGCGGCAGCGCGGGAGCAAUCCUGGCGGCGAGCGGCGGACGGGUGAGUAACGCUUGGGAAUCUGCCUAUUAGUGGGGGACAACCCGGGGAAACUCGGGCUAAUACCGCAUACGCACUACGGUGGAAAGCCGGGGACCGCAAGGCCUGGCGCUAACAGAUGAGCCCAAGUCGGAUUAGCUAGUUGGUAGGUAACGGCCACCAAGGCGACGAUCCGUAACUGGUCUGAGAGGACGACCAGUCACACCGGAACUGAGACACGGUCCGGACUCCUACGGGAGGCAGCAGUGGGGAAUAUUGGACAAUGGGGGAAACCCUGACCCAGCGACGCCGCGUGGGUGAAGAAGGCCUGCGGGUUGUAAAGCCCUUUCAGUGGGGAAGAAAAGCCUCGACCUAACACGUCGGGGUCUUGACGUAACCCAUAGAAGAAGCACCGGCUAACUCUGUGCCAGCCGCCGCCGUAAG
rnacentral:rRNA from 1 species